AUAGAUCUGUAAAUACACAUAGCCUUAGUACAAUAAAAUAGUUUGUCACUUUGACACAAGGUGUGAAAACAGUAAAGUUUAAAAGUUGUUAAUCCUUUUAUGACAAGGGUCAUCUCAUUUAUUAAGUAAUAAUGACUUGAAACACCUAUAUCUGUCUGGACACAAUAACCAAAGAUUUAAAAAGACCAGACAAACUCAGACCAUAUUGUCCUUAUCCCAGCAUGCAUUGUUCCAUGUCAAAGAAUUCUGGGAUAGCAUAAGGGUGAUAAUUAGCCCCAGACAGCUAUAAACUUUUGACUUUGACAUUACCCUGUCUGGUUUUAAGUGUUUAAACAAAUGAGAAAAAAAUAAUACCCUGUUUGUGAUUGAAUAACUAUUUCUUCAAAUAGUACAAUAAGCUCAUAUUAAAUGGGAACAAAAUUACUUCAGCA
rnacentral:lncRNA from 1 species